UGUAUUUAUUAGAUUAAAAACCAAUGCCCUUCGGGGCUCCUUGGUGAUUCAUAAUAACUUAACGAAUCGCAUGGCCUUGUGCCGGCAAUGGUUCAUUCAAAUUUCUGCCCUAUCAACUUUCGAUGGUAGUAUAUGGGACUACCAUGGUUUCAACGGGUAACGGGGAAUUAGGGUUCGAUUCCGGAGAGGGAGCCUGAGAAACGGCUACCACAUCCAAGGAAGGCAGCAGGCGUGCAAAUUACCCAAUCCCGACACGGGGAGGUAGUGACAAUAAAUACUGAUACAGGGCUCUUUUGGGUCUUGUAAUUGGAAUGAGUACAAUUUAAACCUCUUAACGAGGAACAAUUGGAGGGCAAGUCUGGUGCCAGCAGCCGCGGUAAUUCCAGCUCCAAUAGCGUAUAUUAAAGUUGUUGCAGCUAAAAAGCUCGUAGUUGAAACUUGGGCCUGGCUGGCGGGUCCGCCUCACCGCGUGCACUCGUCCGGCCGGGCCUUCCUUCUGAAGAACCUCAUGCCCUUCACUGGGCGUGCUGGGGAACCAGG
rnacentral:rRNA from 1 species